UACGGAAGGCAGCAGUGGGGAAUAUUGCACAAUGGGCGCAAGCCUGAUGCAGCCAUGCCGCGUGUAUGAAGAAGGCCUUCGGGUUGUAAAGUACUUUCAGUCGUGAGGAAGGUGUUAAGGUUAAUAACCUUAGCAAUUGACGUUAGCGACAGAAGAAGCACCGGCUAACUCCGUGCCAGCAGCCGCGGUAAUACGGAGGGUGCGAGCGUUAAUCGGAAUUACUGGGCGUAAAGGGCACGCAGGCGGUUAAUUAAGUUGGAUGUGAAAUCCCCGGGCUUAACCUGGGAAUGGCAUUCAAGACUGGUUAGCUAGAGUCUUGUAGAGGGGGUAGAAUUCCAUGUGUAGCGGUAAAUGCGUAGAGAUGUGGAGGAAUACCGGUGGCGAAGGCGGCCCCUGGACAAAGACUGACGCUCAUGUGCGAAAGCGUGGGGGGCAAACAGGGAUUAGGAUACC
rnacentral:rRNA from 1 species